rnacentral:rRNA from 1 species
UGGGGAAUAUUGGACAAUGGGCGGAAGCCUGAUCCAGCAAUGCCGCGUGAGUGAUGAAGGCCUUAGGGUUGUAAAGCUCUUUUACCCGGGAUGAUAAUGACAGUACCGGGAGAAUAAGCUCCGGCUAACUCCGUGCCAGCAGCCGCGGUAAUACGGAGGGAGCUAGCGUUGUUCGGAAUCACUGGGCGUAAAGCGUACGUAGGCGGCUAUUCAAGUCAGAGGUGAAAGCCCGGGGCUCAACCCCGGAACUGCCUUUGAAACUAGAUGGCUAGAAUCUUGGAGAGGCGAGUGGAAUUCCGAGUGUAGAGGUGAAAUUCGUAGAUAUUCGGAAGAACACCAGUGGCGAAGGCGACUCGCUGGACAAGUAUUGACGCUGAGGUACGAAAGCGUGGGGAGCGAAACAGGAUUAGAUACCCUAGUAGUCCCUGAGCGGGCUGGCAAGGCGCAU